GUGUAUGAAUUAUGCACCACCACCUGCAUAAUGAUGCACCACCGUUGUUACUUUGUACACCGACGUGCAUGAAUCGUACACGAUCGUUGCCAUUUUAGCAACUACCGUGUAUGAAUCAUGCACCACCGUUGUCAUUUUUUUUACUCGUGUGCAAUCGGCUGCAUAUUUACCAUUUUUUCCGUGUUAUUGAAAGAGAAAGGACGCAUUGUGCAAAAAAUUUAUUGAAAAUGAAUAAUAAUUCGCAAGAUCCUCAAAAUAUCAUUGGUGAGUUGUUAGAAAUCGAUGGCAAUAUUGUUGUGGUUCGCGAUACAAACCAUUGCAGCAGUCAAGAUGCGGAAAACAAUGAGGACGAUUAUAUGUUAAGGGAGUUCUUAAAAGGAAUAAAUAUGGAGUCGCUUUUUGAACAAUUAAAAGGUAAGUAAAUAAAAAUGAAUUUUUCAGUUAAUCAGUGUAAUUAACAAAGAAUUUUCUUUUUUGUUCUUUUAGCAUCACAUGUAACAUUUCGCAGCUUGCAGUACUUGAAAAAAGAAGAUUUAAAGGAAGCAGUGCCACCAUUGGGACUGCGUGUUGAAUUCAGAGAAAAGCUCUUUGCUUGGAAAAAACGAAAGCUCGGGAUUGAUGACGAAACUAUGUCAGUUCCAUCUAAAAUAGGUGAAUGGUGGAAACGCAACGAGACACCUGCAAGUACUCCUGGUACUCCCGACACUACAGGUUCGAACUGCUCAAAAGCCAAAGGAAUUUUGUCAGAGGAUCUAACGGAAUUGUUAACACAUACCUCGAAGGGGAAACUAGCGCUUGAAUGUAGUAGCGUUAAUAAGAAAUUAAGUGACGAGCAAAGAGAUGAUAUAAUUAAUAUAAUUAUUGAAGAUAUUUUAACCAACAAUGUUACUCUUUACACUCAAGACUAUA